rnacentral:rRNA from 1 species
GACGAACGCUGGCGGCGUGCUUAACACAUGCAAGUCGAACGGAAAGGCCCUGCUUUUGUGGGGUGCUCGAGUGGCGAACGGGUGAGUAACACGUGAGUAACCUGCCCUUGACUUUGGGAUAACUUCAGGAAACUGGGGCUAAUACCGGAUAGGAGCUCCUGCUGCAUGGUGGGGGUUGGAAAGUUUCGGCGGUUGGGGAUGGACUCGCGGCUUAUCAGCUUGUUGGUGGGGUAGUGGCUUACCAAGGCUUUGACGGGUAGCCGGCCUGAGAGGGUGACCGGCCACAUUGGGACUGAGAUACGGCCCAGACUCCUACGGGAGGCAGCAGUGGGGAAUGUUGCACGAUGGGCGGAAGCCGGAUGCAGCAACGCCGCGUGCGGGAUGACGGCCUUCGGGUUGUAAACCGCUUUCGCCUGUGACGAAGCGUGAGUGACGGUAAUGGGUAAAGAAGCACCGGCUAACUACGUGC